GGACCUGACUGCUAUCGGAUUGAUACUAAGCCAUGCGAGUCAUUGUAGUAAUACAAGGCAGACGGCUCAGUAACGCGUAGUCAACCUACCCCAUGGACGGGGAUAACCUCGGGAAACUGAGAAUAAUACCCGAUAGAACAUUAUGCCUGGAAUGGUUUAUGUUUCAAAUAAUUUAUUGCCGUAGGAUGGGACUGCGGCCUAUCAGUUUGUUGGUGAGGUAAUGGCCCACCAAGACUAUUACAGGUACGGGCUCUGAGAGGAGUAGCCCGGAGAUGGGUACUGGGACACGGACCCAGGCCCUAUGGGGCGCAGCAGGCGAGAAAACUUUGCAAUGUGCGAAAGCACGACAAGGUUAAUCCGAGUGGUUUCUGCUAAAGAAACCUUUUGUCAGUCCUAGAAACACUGAUGAAUAAGGGGUGGGCAAGUUCUGGUGU
rnacentral:rRNA from 1 species